rnacentral:lncRNA from 1 species
CAGAACCGUGUGGUCGCACCCCUGUGAAGAAGAAAAGUGGGCGCAGGUACUGCUCUGUCAAAGACUGCCACAGUCGCGAAGGGACGCCAGGCGUGAGGCUGUACAGUUUUCCGUCAAAGCCUUGGGAGAAGUCACGAAGGCAAAAAUGGAUUAUCGCCGUGCGACGAGUCAAUUUUGAGGACUCCUCUAGCUGGCAGCCUAAUCGAGAUUCGAGGGUGUGUUCCAAACAUUUUGUGAAUGGCGAGAAAAGCACAAUUGAAAGCCACCCAGGUUAUGUACCAACAAUAUUCCCGACCGUGUACAAGAAGAGGUCCACUUCAUCUACUGCUCAGCUGGCUAGAUUUAAUAGGUGGAAGCAGCGGUACUCUGGGUCAUCUGCAUCACUGGCUACUCCUGCAUCAGCUGAUUCCCCUGGACCAGCUUCUCCCUACACAGCUGAGACAGGAGCCAUUGGUACCAGCAGCCUUGCCACAGUUGAUCUAGCAACUAGUACAGACCUGUUGUACGAGCGGAGCUCGACAGAGGGCUUAGAUCUACUGUCCACUGUCGCUGCUGAGCUUUGCACUGCAGUAAAAUCCGUGGAAACACAAACUGAAGA